CUUGCUUCUCUUGAGAGCGGCGGACGGGUGAGUAAUGCCUAGGAAUCUGCCUGGUAGUGGGGGAUAACGUUCGGAAACGGACGCUAAUACCGCAUACGUCCUACGGGAGAAAGCAGGGGACCUUCGGGCCUUGCGCUAUCAGAUGAGCCUAGGUCGGAUUAGCUAGUUGGUGGGGUAAUGGCUCACCAAGGCGACGAUCCGUAACUGGUCUGAGAGGAUGAUCAGUCACACUGGAACUGAGACACGGUCCAGACUCCUACGGGAGGCAGCAGUGGGGAAUAUUGGACAAUGGGCGAAAGCCUGAUCCAGCCAUGCCGCGUGUGUGAAGAAGGUCUUCGGAUUGUAAAGCACUUUAAGUUGGGAGGAAGGGUUGUAGAUUAAUACUCUGCAAUUUUGACGUUACCGACAGAAUAAGCACCGGCUAACUCUGUGCCAGCAGCCGCGGUAAUACAGAGGGUGCAAGCGUUAAUCGGAAUUACUGGGCGUAAAGCGCGCGUAGGUGGUUUGUUAAGUUGGAUGUGAAAUCCCCGGGCUCAACCUGGGAACUGCAUUCAAAACUGACUGACUAGAGUAUGGUAGAGGGUGGUGGAAUUUCCUGUGUAGCGGUGAAAUGCGUAGAUAUAGGAAGGAACACCAGUGGCGAAGGCGACCACCUGGACUAAUACUGACACUGAGGUGCGAAAGCGUGGGGAGCAAA
rnacentral:rRNA from 1 species